AGUGAACGCUGGCGGUAGGCCUAACACAUGCAAGUCGAACGGCAGCACAGGAGAGCCUGCUCUCUGGGUGGCGAGUGGCGGACGGGUGAGGAAUACAUCGGAAUCUACUCUGUCGUGGGGGAUAACGUAGGGAAACUUACGCUAAUACCGCAUACGACCUACGGGUGAAAGCAGGGGACCUUCGGGCCUUGCGCGAUUGAAUGAGCCGAUGUCGGAUUAGCUAGUUGGCGGGGUAAAGGCCCACCAAGGCGACGAUCCGUAGCUGGUCUGAGAGGAUGAUCAGCCACACUGGAACUGAGACACGGUCCAGACUCCUACGGGAGGCAGCAGUGGGGAAUAUUGGACAAUGGGCGCAAGCCUGAUCCAGCCAUACCGCGUGGGUGAAGAAGGCCUUCGGGUUGUAAAGCCCUUUUGUUGGGAAAGAAAUCCAGCUGGCUAAUACCCGGUUGGGAUGACGGCACCCAAAGAAUAAGCACCGGCUAACUUCGUGCCAGCAGCCGCCGUAA
rnacentral:rRNA from 1 species